UACGUAGGGGGCAAGCGUUGUCCGGAUUUAUUGGGCGUAAAGAGCGUGUAGGCGGCCAGGUAGGUCUGCUGUGAAAACUCGAGGCUUAACCUCGAGAUGUCGGCGGAAACCAUCUGGCUAGAGUCCGGAAGAGGAGAGUGGAAUUCCUGGUGUAGCGGUGAAAUGCGCAGAUAUCAGGAAGAACACCUAUUGCGAAGGCAGCUCGCUGGGACGUAACUGACGCUGAGACGCGAAAGCGUGGGGAGCAAACGGG
rnacentral:rRNA from 1 species